GCUGCAUUUCCUUCAGGAAUUGGGGGAGGUGGUGUCAGGAGUCACGUGAUCGCAGCUCAUCCGUGCCGACCCUUUGUUGUUGGGAUUUUAGGCAAGGAGAACAGCGAUAUUAACCCGACACGAAAACACCGACGUUUACCGCGAACCGCUCGGAUAAAAACGAUAUCUAAAGGACGAGCGACCCUCGAUGCGCGUCGGCUUUGCUCUCAUCUCAGUCGGAUAACCAACGAAACACGCGAGCGUACGAGAUGCACACAAAGACAUCGGCGAGCUCAUAGUACCGAGACGUUCACGAGCCCAUGCAACACACGCACGUGAACGCAAAUCCGUGCAAAUGUGCUCGUGAUCGAAAUGCACGCUCGAUUUUAACCGGAGUGAUGCUCGCACGACUUCAUUUGCCUGCUUGGGACACAAACACGUUUUAAAAGGGGAAACAUUGGAAUACUUGGUCCUCAUCAUCAGCCAUAGGCUGCUUUGUUUCUGGGCAUCUUCAUUGAACAGGUUAAAGAGGAGAUACAGACCGCUGCUGGGCAUCAUGUCGGUGGGCAGUGGGCUUGUAAGGUGGACCAGUACCGAACUGUCUGUGUUCUGCUUGCUGACCAUCACCAUCCCCACAGUGCUGGGAUCAGUCCAGUCGGCCAACCCGCAGAACACAGACUGCGUAUCCGGCAAAGGAAAAGGCUGCUUAGAUCUGCCAGAGAAGAAGAGCGACCUACGAGUGUGCAACGAUGCCACGUGCGCCCAUGGUGGCACCUGCAAAGAUCUGAAAUGUGUAUGCCAAUUUCAGUGCCCUAAGAACUACAUCCCCGUGUGCGGUUCAAACGGAGACACCUAUCAGAACGAAUGCUAUCUGAGACAAGCGGCGUGUACACAACAGAGAUCCAUCACUCUGGCCUCCGAGGGACCCUGUUAUCCCGACGGCGGUUCAGGAUCUGGUGAUGGAGAAUAUGAAGGAUCGGGCACAGACUCGGGCAUAAAAGUCACGAAAUGCAGUAACUGCAAGUACGGCGCAGAAUGCGAUGAAGAUGCAGAGGACGGAGACACCUGCUCGUGCAAAAUCGACUGCAGUGGCCAUAAUGAAAACCCGGUGUGUGGUACUGACGGAAACUCGUACCAUAACCCCUGCCUCGUACGGGAAGCCUCCUGUAUGAAACAGGAGCAGAUAGAUGUCAAACAUCUGGGAAGAUGUCCAGGUCAGAAUCUGCUAAAGGUCACAAUAAAGACAAAGCUAAAAAAACUGAUGUUGGAUCUCCAUACAAGCCUGAGAUUACUGACCCAGCUAAAGCAGGUGAUGGUAAAGGCUACGGCUGGAUGCCUGUCCCCUGCACGGAUGACUACGCAAACUUCUGCGUUCAUGGCCAAUGCGAAUUCAAUUACGGCAUUGCUACCUGCCGGUGUGAUUCAGGUUACACUGGAACACAGUGUGAGGAGAUCGCAGACUUUAACAUCUUGUAUGUGGUGCCCAGUGGACAGAAACUUCAUUAUGUGCUCAUAGCUGCUAUCAUCGGAGCUGUGCAGAUCGCCAUCAUUGUGGCUGUUGUCAUGUGCAUUACCAGGAAAUGUCCUAAGAAUAAUCGCGGAAGACGGCAAAAGCAGAACUUAGGACAUUUUUCAUCAGACGCCUCUUCAAGGAUGAUGUAGCUUGUUUUUAUUUUAUUUUUUGAUACUUUUUGUACCGAGUGGAUUACGAUUAUUAUGUGCAUUUUCGUUCGUGCUUUCUUGACUCUGGACAACAAGGUUAUUUUCGAUCACGUUUUAUUUCGUUAUUUUACGGGAUGGUGCCUUAUUGUUUGUUUUUCAAGGACAUUUUAGGUACUUGAUGUCAGUGGUUGACACUGUCUGAGGAAUGAUAAAAGCCAGCUCUAUUUGUCGAGUGUUUUUUGUUUUUGUUUUUUUUACUUCAUUUGUGGUACCACGUAUCAUUACACGUAACUCACGGCAAAUAAACUGUGCCACUGGACGUCCUCGAUUUCAUGGAAUGUGCUUCUUACUGAAAAUAUGAACUCUUGUCUUUUAGCCCUUCGAUCAUUUUUAUUUAAAUCAAACAUAGCUGAACACCAAAUUUAAUUGGGUCACAAACAAGUUUGCCGACGAAGUGCUGACGUUUACGGUUUCGUUUUGAAAGGAAUUCCAGAGAAUGAAUUGCAAUGUGUUUGACUAGCUAAUCUUAUCAAUGUUGAAAUGUUUGUAGUUUUUAUGUUCUAAUGUUAUUGGUGUUGUCAAUGUUGAAAUGGACAUUAUUGACAUUAAUUUAAUUCUACGAACUGCAUAUCGCAUGACCUGUGAAACUGUGUCCAGUGAUGUAGAUUUAAUAAAAUUUAAUUCUCAGUCUUA